GAAAAGCCCGCUCGCCGGAAGACCAAGGGUUCCUGUCCAACGUUAAUCGGGGCAGGGUGAGUCGACCCCUAAGGCGAGGCCGAAAGGCGUAGUCGAUGGGAAACAGGUUAAUAUUCCUGUACUUGGUGUUACUGCGAAGGGGGGACGGAGAAGGCUAUGUUGGCCGGGCGACGGUUGUCCCGGUUUAAGCGUGUAGGCUGGUUUUCCAGGCAAAUCCGGAAAAUCAAGGCUGAGGCGUGAUGACGAGGCACUACGGUGCUGAAGCAACAAAUGCCCUGCUUCCAGGAAAAGCCUCUAAGCAUCAGGUAACAUCAAAUCGUACCCCAAACCGACACAGGUGGUCAGGUAGAGAAUACCAAGGCGCUUGAGAGAACUCGGGUGAAGGAACUAGGCAAAAUGGUGCCGUAACUUCGGGAGAAGGCACGCUGAUAUGUAGGUGAAGUCCCUCGCGGAUGGAGCUGAAAUCAGUCGAAGAUACCAGCUGGCUGCAACUGUUUAUUAAAAACACAGCACUGUGCAAACACGAAAGUGGACGUAUACGGUGUGACGCCUGCCCGGUGCCGGAAGGUUAAUUGAUGGGGUUAGCGCAAGCGAAGCUCUUGAUCGAAGCCCCGGUAAACGGCGGCCGUAACUAUAACGGUCCUAAGGUAGCGAAAUUCCUUGUCGGGUAAGUUCCGACCUGCACGAAUGGCGUAAUGAUGGCCAGGCUGUCUCCACCCGAGACUCAGUGAAAUUGAACUCGCUGUGAAGAUGCAGUGUACCCGCGGCAAGACGGAAAGACCCCGUGAACCUUUACUAUAGCUUGACACUGAACAUUGAGCCUUGAUGUGUAGGAUAGGUGGGAGGCUUUGAAGUGUGGACGCCAGUCUGCAUGGAGCCGACCUUGAAAUACCACCCUUUAAUGUUUGAUGUUCUAACGUUGACCCGUAAUCCGGGUUGCGGACAGUGUCUGGUGGGUAGUUUGACUGGGGCGGUCUCCUCCUAAAGAGUAACGGAGGAGCACGAAGGUUGGCUAAUCCUGGUCGGACAUCAGGAGGUUAGUGCAAUGGCAUAAGCCAGCUUGACUGCGAGCGUGACGGCGCGAGCAGGUGCGAAAGCAGGUCAUAGUGAUCCGGUGGUUCUGAAUGGAAGGGCCAUCGCUCAACGGAUAAAAGGUACUCCGGGGAUAACAGGCUGAUACCGCCCAAGAGUUCAUAUCGACGGCGGUGUUUGGCACCUCGAUGUCGGCUCAUCACAUCCUGGGGCUGAAGUAGGUCCCAAGGGUAUGGCUGUUCGCCAUUUAAAGUGGUACGCGAGCUGGGUUUAGAACGUCGUGAGACAGUUCGGUCCCUAUCUGCCGUGGGCGCUGGAGAACUGAGGGGGGCUGCUCCUAGUACGAGAGGACCGGAGUGGACGCAUCACUGGUGUUCGGGUUGUCAUGCCAAUGGCACUGCCCGGUAGCUAAAUGCGGAAGAGAUAAGUGCUGAAAGCAUCUAAGCACGAAACUUGCCCCGAGAUGAGUUCUCCCUGACUCCUUGAGAGUCCUGAAGGAACGUUGAAGACGACGACGUUGAUAGGCCGGGUGUGUAAGCGCAGCGAUGCGUUGAGCUAACCGGUACUAAUGAACCGUGAGGCUUAACCUUACAACGCCGAAGCUGUU
rnacentral:rRNA from 1 species